UUACGGCCACAUCACGUUGAAACAUCGGUUCCCGUACGAUCACCGAAGUUAAGCAACGUCCAGCCUGGUCACUACCUAGAUGGUCGACCGCCUCAGAAUAUCAUGUGUUGUAAG